rnacentral:rRNA from 1 species
GAUGAACGCUAGCGGCAGGCCUAAUACAUGCAAGUCGAGCGGCAAGUUGAGAAGCAAUUCGAGACCUAGAGCGGCGUACGGGUGCGUGACGCGUAUGCAACCUACCUCAUACAGGGGGAUAGCCCGGAGAAAUCUGGAUUAAUACCCCAUGGUACAUAUUGAAGGCAUCUGAGAUAUGUUAAAGAUUCAUCGGUAUGAGAGGGGCAUGCGUCUGAUUAGCUAGUUGGCGGUGUAACGGACCACCAAGGCGACGAUCAGUAGGGGUUCUGAGAGGAAGGUCCCCCACACUGGCACUGUGAUACGGGCCAGACUCCUACGGGAGGCAGCAGUAGGGAAUAUUGGGCAAUGGUCGGAAGACUGACCAGCCAUGCCGCGUGCAGGAAGACGGCGUUCUGCGUUGUAAACUGCUUUUAUCUGGGAAGAAAAGGCCCAUGCGUGGGACAUUGCCGGUACCAGAUGAAUAAGCACCGGCUAACUCCGUGCCAGCCGCCGCAGUAA